UUCUGCUUCCUAUAAACACUUAUCUCUAAACACGAACCCAGUGCUAAACAAAUAUGAGUAUACCUCUAUUCCUCAUCACCAAAUACACGUAUGAAUAUGCAUGAACCUCCUCCUGACAUUUAUGUUCUAGCUGCGCUGGUGAAGGCAAACCGUGUUACAGCAUUGAUCAGACCGCAAAACCAACCAUGCAGAAUCUGAAAUGUGGAUCUGGUGAGUUGUGUGUAGGAGUUGAGGUCACCACUAGCAAGAGGCAAGCCAAGCCAUGAAAAUGAAAUGACUCAGGCUGCAAGAAACUUCUGCAACCUGAGUCAUUAGAGGAACUUCAACGUGACCGUCCUCGACUUUGUGUCUUAAUCUUCUUAUGCCUGGAAAAAAAAUACUUUGUUUUAAGCCUUUUUUUUUUUUUAUAUCGGUUUGCGUAUUAAAAACUCACUCAAAAUGUAAGAUCUGCAUUGGAGUAGACACUUAAUGACACAAAGCACAUUACACAUCACCUCAUUACUGCAUAGUUUCAAGAAAACGAAAUGGAGGACGAAAACUACAACAGCAGCAGUAUCAUCCUAAAUAUCAACAACAACAACCACAACAACAACAAUGGCAGACUGGCAUCUUGCUCACCUUCCUCUUUGAAACCUGUCCUGAGUCCUUCUCCGAGGCAUUGGAAGUUUUCCUCCUCAGCAUCUUCUUCAGUGGCUGGCAGUGUCAACACAAAAGAGCCCAAACUAAAGGAUGGGGAUGUGUGUAUGUGUGACUCUCGUUUCAGGGCUUUCAGCGCUCUGAUGGAAACAGAGGAAGGCUCGACUACCUUUCUGAGCAGCUCGCGACAGGAAAAA